rfam:Arthrobacter arilaitensis RE117 chromosome, complete sequence.
CGGUUCUGGCCGCGAGGUCAGUAACUGAUGGGGCAGAAGUCAGCAGAGGUUAUAGUACCUGCCUAGGAAUCGCGUCGGGUGAGGAACCUGAUCGUUUGCCUGAGACCCAUUGUGGUUGAUGAGGGAGGCAGGGAAGGGC